AUCGAACGCUGGCGGCAUGCCUUACACAUGCAAGUCGAACGGCAGCACGGGAGCUUGCUCCUGGUGGCGAGUGGCGAACGGGUGAGUAAUACAUCGGAACGUACCCUGAAGUGGGGGAUAACGUAGCGAAAGUUACGCUAAUACCGCAUAUUCUGUGAGCAGGAAAGAGGGGGAUCGCAAGACCUCUUGCUUUAGGAGCGGCCGAUGUCGGAUUAGCUAGUUGGUGAGGUAAAGGCUCACCAAGGCGACGAUCCGUAGCGGGUCUGAGAGGAUGAUCCGCCACACUGGGACUGAGACACGGCCCAGACUCCUACGGGAGGCAGCAGUGGGGAAUUUUGGACAAUGGGCGCAAGCCUGAUCCAGCCAUGCCGCGUGAGUGAAGAAGGCCUGGUGUAAGCUCUUCGUGGGGUAAGGAAAGUAGGCACGGGUUAA
rnacentral:rRNA from 1 species